UUCAGCCUUACUUAUAAACGUCUCUUAAAUUUAAGAGCCCCUCUUAGCUGUUGAUCAACGUUUUUUUCACUUAUAAACCCAAUUCAGCGUUGAGAAGUGUUUUAGCAACUGUUCAAUAAUGUCAAAAUUUAAGCAACGUCCGACCGUGUUUUAAAUCUAUUUGAGAGACAUCAUGGCGGAUAUAUUGUCAAACAUUUGACGUUUUUGAUAUAAUAUUUGUGUUUUUAUUCACUUCGCAGUACAAUUGUGAUAAAAUGGAUAGGUAUUGAUAGUUUGAGUAAGGAUUUUACGAAUGAUGUGCUUCGUGAUUUUAGAAUUCGUAGGCGUCAAAAAAAAAAGUUUAUAAACAGAGCGUGAAUCCUCUGGACCUGAAAGAAGAAGAAUUCCGGUCGUAGUUUUGGGAAACAUAUACGAUCUGAGUCACAUGCGAACGAGGAAUAAUUAUCUACUAUAACUGUCGAGCGUUGCUUCGGGGUAUGGAAGCUAAGAUUCUGCAUUCUCAAUGAAACGAUGUGAGGACUCCUCCACGUGAUCAAGAUCACGAUUAUUGCUGGUGCAGUUUUGCACAAUUUAACAAUACUAGGCAUUGAAAAUCAAUUAACAAAUCCAACUGUCCCUACUAAUGUAGAAGAAUAAGAAGAUGAAUGCGAAAAUCAUGGGAAAAUAUAAACACAGUCAUAUUGAAACUUAUUUUUAUAAUUAAAUAAAUAUUUUCAUAUUUUUGUAAA